AUGGACAGAAGCUCCCCGCAUGUGAAUAUCAAUCGUAUGAAUGCUUUUCGAAAUCUUGUCAAAGCUUGUGGUCUCUUUGAUUUAGGCUUUAGUGGUCCUGCUUAUACUUGGAUGAAUAAGAGAUUCUCUUUUAAUCCUAUUUAUGAGCGCCUUGAUCGAUGCUUAGUAAAUGCUGAAUGGUUUGCUAUUCAUCCUGUCACAAAUGUGUACAAUCUGCCAAUUACUGUUAGUGACCAUGCACCAAUUCUUAUCUCUACUGAAGGCAAAUUUUGCAAACCUCUUCAAACAUUUAAGUUUGAAAAUUAG
rnacentral:rRNA from 1 species